UGCUAUAUAUGGAUAUUUGUUAGAAAAAUCGGAAGAAAACAUAUACUUUUUCGAUGGUCCAGUUGACGAGUGAAAGGAAGAAGGCAGAUUACGAAAGUGUCAAAAACAAACAAAACAAUAUACCUAUCUAGCCAGUUGACACAAAGGAGAAAAAAUAAAUAAAUUGAAUAUUUUAAGUAAUAUAUUUUGGUUGUGAAAAAAAUGUUUUUAUUUUGUUGACGUUUCAAAUUGAAGAAAAUUAUUGUCGUUUUAAUGUCCAAAGGAUCAAUGUGAAUUGAAUUAAGACAAAUGUUUUGUAGUUUUGCAAGUUUCCUAAACAUAACCUCACAUUCUGUAAGUGAAUUAUUAACGAAGUUAUUGUUAAACUGAAUAUGUGAAGGAUUUGUAUUGUAUUUCAGAAGCCCUGAAGAAGAAUUAAAUAAAUUCGAAAGCUUGGCAAGGAAUAAAGAGUUUUCUUUUAUUCUCCAAAAUAAUCGAGUCGUUUGACCCUUAUCAAUAGUUCACAGUUAUACACUAAAGACUCUUAAAAAUAAGUUUGAAGUUUAAUCAAUAAAAUGGGUUUCUUCGAAGAAAUAUCUCACAAUUAUGGUCCUGAAACAACGAAGGAACUGAAAUUAUGGAGUACAAACAACAGGAAAUUAGCUGCAGCUCUAAACAGGCGAAUAUUUCUUUUGGAGUGUAAGCGACAGGGACUUAUACCAAAACAUAUAACAUCAAAUGUUAAAAGUAUAAUGGGAUUAUUUGAGUAUAAUAAUCAACGAUUGAAUCGAAAAAUACGCGAAUUCAAUGAUUCAACAAGCAAAAAAAUAAUAAACCUAGAACUGUGUCAGGUUAAUCACAAAAUAAAAAGACUGGAAUUACUCAACACCCAGAUAAGACAGAGUUUACAACAUUUACCAGAAUAUAUGCUUAUACAGUAUCAAGACCGACUGAAAUGCUCGUUCAACAAAGAGUUCCACAAGAUUAAAAUGACAAAUUUAAAGAAAAUCAACAACCUCAAGACAACCAGCAUUCCGAACGUAACAACUCAAGAUAGAUGGAUAAAAAAUUUAUCUGACAAAGAAAUACCAAAUACAGUCAAAAGUCUGUUAUCAUUAGGAUCCAAAUUCAGUGUAACAACUACAAAAAAAGAUAUAAACAUUGAUCGCAUAAUAGCAGAUACAGAAUAUAUCCUAGAAGCAAUACCAGAUGGAAGAAAAAAUGUACAGAGAGCGAAAGUCACAAAUGCAGUCACAAAUUAUAUACAUAGACCUAUAGAAGAAAAUUCUCUGAUACAAAAAUGGUAUAAGGACACCAAAUGGUUUUUAAAAGAAAACAAUGAUUUAAUUAUAUUGAAUAGUGACAAGGGUGCAGUGACAGUUGUAAUGAAUGAAAAAAUGUAUAAUGAAAAAAUUCAAUCUAUUUUAGAAUCCAAAGAUUUCAAGAGACUACCCAGAGAUCCCACACAGACAUUACAAACAAAAUGUAAUAAAUAUAUUGACAAACUAGGCGAACUGAAAUACAUAACAAAAGAACAAAUGAAGCAAAUGAAAACAUACAACUCUGUUGCGCCAAGAAUUUACGGGAAUCCAAAAGUUCAUAAAGAUGGUUAUCCCAUGAGGCCAAUAAUAUCAAGUAUAAAUAGUCCAAUGAAUUCCUUAUCUAAAUUCAUUGCUGACAUUUUGAAAACCGCAUAUGAUGAAGAAAACCAAUAUUAUGUCAAAGAUACAUUCCACUUUGCAACAACAGUUAACAAUUUCAAAUUACCAGAAAACUACACACUAAUCUCCCUAGACUUCAUAAAUUUAUUCGGUAAUCUGGACAAAAAUGACAUUAUUGAAGUCCUGAAACAAAAAUGGGACAUAAUUAAAGAACAUACAAACAUCAAUAUGGAGCUGUUUAUGGAAAUUAUUUUGUUUAUAUUGAAUAACAACUACUGCGUGUUCAAAGAAAAAUAUUACCUUCAAAUAUUUGGAUGUGCUAUGGGUUCUAAACUAAGUCCAAGACUAGCCCAAUAUGUCAUGGAUCACUUGGUAAAAUCAUGUGUGGAAAAGUUACCAUUUAAUAUACCCAUUUUAAAAAAAUUCGUAGACGACUUAUUAUUGACUGUACCAAAAACACAUAUACAGACUACGUUGAAGUGUUUUAACUCUUAUUCCAAAAACUUACAAUUCACUUUGGAAGUAGAAAACUUGGAACAAUGUGUACCUUUCUUAGACACAAAAGUACAAAGACAAGAUGAUGUUAUAAAGUUAAAAUGGCAUAGAAAAGAAACCCACUCAAACAAAAUGAUCCAUUAUAAUUCAGACCAUAACAUAAAUAUAAAAAUUAACAUGAUAAAACAAAUGAAAAAUAGAAUAAGAAGAAUAUGUCAUGAGUCUUACAUACAGGAGGGAAUACAAAAUUUAUUGGAGAUACUAAGACAGAACGGAUAUCCCUAUGGAAUGUUGAAGAAAUUAUUGUAUGCAAGUGACACCACAGAAGCACCACAACUAAUAAGAAGCGAGGAAGUAACAGAGGAAAUUCAUUAUGCAUCAUACCCAAAUAUACAUGGAUUAACAAAAAAACUAAUAAAUAUAUUUAAACAUGAAAAAGUGAAAAUUGCUAUUUAUAAUAAAAAAACUGUGGGCAAUUUAUAUACAAAAUUAAAAGAUCCUAUUCAAACACUAUUAAAAAGCAACGUAGUCUAUGAAGUAAAAUGUGAAGAUUGCGAAAAAAUAUACAUAGGACAUACAUCUCAAUGGUUGAAAAGCAGAUUGGCAUUACACAAAUCAGAUAUUGCAAAACAUCCGGAUAGAUGCGCACUAGCAACCCAUGCAUUCAAUUUAAAUCAUAAAAUAAAUUUCGAAGAAGCAAAGGUGUUAAAAACGGAAAAAAAUUACAAAAAAAGGUUGAUAUUGGAAAUGAUAGAGAUAAAUAAACAGGAAAAUAUUAUUAACAAAAAAACAGACACAAAUAAGUUGAGUGCUAUAUAUGGAUAUUUGUUAGAAAAAUCGGAAGAAAACAUAUACUUUUUCGAUGGUCCAGUUGACGAGUGAAAGGAAGAAGGCAGAUUACGAAAGUGUCAAAAACAAACAAAACAAUAUACCUAUCUAGCCAGUUGACACAAAGGAGAAAAAAUAAAUAAAUUGAAUAUUUUAAGUAAUAUAUUUUGGUUGUGAAAAAAAUGUUUUUAUUUUGUUGACGUUUCAAAUUGAAGAAAAUUAUUGUCGUUUUAAUGUCCAAAGGAUCAAUGUGAAUUGAAUUAAGACAAAUGUUUUGUAGUUUUGCAAGUUUCCUAAACAUAACCUCACAUUCUAAGCCCUGAAGAAGAAUUAAAUAAAUUCGAAAGCUUG